CCCUUAGAUGUCCGGGGCCGCACGCGCGCUACACUGAAGGAAUCAGCGUGGCUUUCUCCCUGACCCGAAAGGGUUGGGAAACCCGUUGAAUCUCCUUCGUGAUAGGGAUUGGGGCUUGAAAUUGUUCGCCAUGAACGAGGAAUUCCCAGUAAGCGCGAGUCAUAAGCUCGCGUUGAUUACGUCCCUGCCCUUUGUACACACCGCCCGUCGCUACUACCGAUUGAACGGUUUAGUGAGGGCCUCGGAUUGGUCUCGGCCCGCUCUUUACCGGGCGGCGCCGUUGGUCGAGAAGACGCUCGAACUUGAUCGUUUAGAGGAAGUAAAAGUCGUAACA
rnacentral:rRNA from 1 species